AUGAUUUUCUUAUCACGUGGUCCAAAUUUAUACCCUAAUUGUUCAUUCAAUUCAAAUCCUUGGAUGUGUGGGCGUCUCAUAUUCUGCAACGAGGAAGAACAAAUAAGAAGUUUCUUGAUAUCUCACGAAACAAGAGACUUUUACUCGAUUAUCAUGGUUCGACUUGCUGCUUUGCUGCAUUCAAAGAUUUGGAAUGCGGACUCAUCAUCAUUCACUAGUUUAGGCAUGAAGUUGUGUCAUUCUUCUCCGACUACGUGGGUUUCCGUUCGCUAUCAGGGAUCUGUACUGCUGACGGCUGCAGAGGAGAGCUUGUGUGACAUAUGGGUUAAUCAUCUCCAACUAGACGUGGUUUUCUAG
rnacentral:rRNA from 1 species